UAACAACUCACCUGCCGAAGCAACUAGCCCUGAAAAUGGAUGGCGCUCUAGCGUCGUGCCUAUACCGGGCCGUCAACGGCAAAGUGGGUUGGUGUUCGGCCGGUUCACGCCGGUCGGCUCGACCGUUAAGCCUUGACGAGUAGGAGGCGCGCGGCAGUGUGCGCAGAAGGGUCUGGGCGUGAGCCUGCCUGGAGCCGCUGUCGGUGCAGAUCUUGGUGGUAGUAGCAAAUACUCUAGCGAGGGCCUGGAGGGCUGAUGUGGAGAAGGGUUUCUUGUGAACAGCCGUUGCACAAGAGUCAGUCGACCCUAAGCCCUAGGAGAAAUCCGAUGUUGAUGGGUAGCAAUCAUCAGCUAGCUGACUGCUCCCGUCGGGCGAAAGGGAAUCCGGUUCCUAUUCCGGAACCCGGCUGCGGAACCGUAACUUCGCGGGCACUCGCUCGCGAGCGCUCGUCGGGGUAACCCAAAAUGACCCGGAGACGCCGGCGGGAGGUCUGGAAAGAGUUGUCUUUUCUUUAUAAGCGUUCGAGUUCCCUGGAAUCCUAUAGCAGGGAGAUAGGGUUUGGAACGCGAAGAGCACCGCAGUUGCGGCGGUGUCCGGACCUUCCCCCCGGACCUUGAAAAUCCGGGUGAGGGCUACGCGGAAUGUCGCGCCGGCUCGUACCCAUAUCCGCAGCAGGUCUCCAAGGUUAAGAGCCUCUAGUCGAUAGAAUAAUGUAGGUAAGGGAAGUCGGCAAA
rnacentral:rRNA from 1 species